CCUACGUGCGGCAGCAGUGAGGAAUAUUGGUCAAUGGACGCAAGUCUGAACCAGCCAUGCCGCGUGCAGGAAGACGGCUCUAUGAGUUGUAAACUGCUUUUGUACGAGGGUAAACGCAGAUACGCGUAUCUGUCUGAAAGUAUCGUACGAAUAAGGAUCGGCUAACUCCGUGCCAGCAGCCGCGGUAAUACGGAGGAUUCAAGCGUUAUCCGGAUUUAUUGGGUUUAAAGGGUGCGUAGGCGGUCUGAUAAGUUAGAGGUGAAAUUCCGAGGGUCAACUUUGGAAUUGCCACUGAUAGUGGUCGGCGAGAGAGUAGUUGCGGUAGGCGGAAUGUAUGGUGUAGCGGUGAAAUGCUUAGAGAUCAUGCAGAACACCGAUUGCGAAGGCAGCUUACCAAGCUACUUCUGACGUUGAGGCACGAAAGCGUGGGGAGCAAACAGGAUUAGAUACCCCUGUAGUC
rnacentral:rRNA from 1 species